UUAUUGAAAAGCUGUUGUGUCCAAGUAAAGUAUUUCAGGUCUGAUAAUACUGUAAAAUUACAGCAUCUCGACUCAUUAUUUACUGCAGAUGAUGGGGGGAGGGAUUCUGCUGUAAUGACUGUUGUGAUGUUUUUUUUUUCUUUUUGCUAUCUACAUGUGAAUCCAGGUGAAAGUGAGUUUUUACCUGCAGUAUUUAAAUGAUUGUUUCCAAACUCAGUCUCUGAUUCUGGCAGGUCAUCCAUCUGUGCUUAAUGUGCAGCUGCUGGUAGGAGGAAGGAAUGUUUUUCUUUAUCUUGUCUCUUAUUUAUUUAUUUUUCCUACACUUGCAACUGCACAAAACCUACCAAGUUCAACCCUGUCAAAGACAUUAAAAACUCAAACUCUUACAGCUUUAUAACACUGUAUGUCUUCCAAAAUGGCUGUGACCUUUUGAUAUGGAUAUCAUCCUGGAAUGGUCCAUACUGAUGAUGCUGGCACAAAGCCAUGAUAAUUUUCUUGUAAAUGAGAAAUGGGCUAAUUUUGCACAUUUUAACAGAUUAUGAGAGUAAAGAAGUACUUUGUAAAUAUUUUGAGAAUAAAUGUCUUAAAAAUGCGUUGGUCAGUUUAAUGUUGUCGUCAAGCUGCUGACAUUAAUUCCUAACAAGUGUGUGUUAGCCUUGAGUUUCAGUGUUAUGAUGGGAGUGUCUCCAAGAACCUUUCAGCCACUGAUUCCUAAACGAAACCUCAGAUCAGGAUUUCUCUGAUCUUGA